GGAUGUGAGGGCGAUUUGGCUGUCAUAUCUGUCGCUCCAUUGAUCACCAGGGUUGAUUCGGCUGAUCUGCUGGCUAGCCCGGUGUCCCCUUCCCCACUAGCACUCCAUGUGCGUCCCUCCCGAAGCUGUGUGUUUGGUCAAAGAGAAUGACCAUCCCUGAUAGAGGACCGGUCUUCAGUCAGGGUAUGUGAGUAGCUGCACUCCCCUGCUAGAGCCUCCAGACAGGCUCCAUUCGUAGGCGAAUGUAGAGUCGUCAACCUUCCAAGACUCCAGACACAUCCAAAUGAGGCACUGCAUGUGGCAGUCUGCCUUUCUAA
ensembl:misc_RNA 7SK 7SK RNA